rnacentral:rRNA from 1 species
UAUAGAUGGAUCCGCGCUGCAUUAGCUAGUUGGUAAGGUAACGGCUUACCAAGGCAACGAUGCAUAGCCGACCUGAGAGGGUGAUCGGCCACACUGGAACUGAGACACGGUCCAGACUCCUACGGGAGGCAGCAGUAGGGAAUCUUCCGCAAUGGGCGAAAGCCUGACGGAGCAACGCCGCGUGAGUGAUGAAGGUCUUCGGAUCGUAAAACUCUGUUAUUAGGGAAGAACAUAUGUGUAAGUAACUGUGCACAUCUUGACGGUACCUAAUCAGAAAGCCACGGCUAACUACGUGCCAGCAGCCGCGGUAAUACGUAGGUGGCAAGCGUUAUCCGGAAUUAUUGGGCGUAAAGCGCGCGUAGGCGGUUUUUUAAGUCUGAUGUGAAAGCCCACGGCUCAACCGUGGAGGGUCAUUGGAAACUGGAAAACUUGAGUGCAGAAGAGGAAAGUGGAAUUCCAUGUGUAGCGGUGAA